UACGUAGGUGGCAAGCGUUGUCCGGAUUUAUUGGGCGUAAAGCGCGCGCAGGUGGUGCGGUAAGUCUGCCGUGAAAUCUCCCGGCUCAACUGGGAGGGGGCGGUGGAGACUGCCGGACUGGAGGGACUCAGAGGCCGGUGGAAUUCCCGGUGUAGUGGUGAAAUGCGUAGAGAUCGGGAGGAACACCAGUGGCGAAGGCGGCCGGCUGGGGGUGCCCUGACGCUGAGGCGCGAAAGCCAGGGGAGCGAACGGG
rnacentral:rRNA from 1 species